rnacentral:rRNA from 1 species
GACGAACGCUGGCGGCGUGCUUAACACAUGCAAGUCGAACGGAAAGGCCCUGCUUUUGUGGGGUUCUCUAGUUUCGAUCGUGUGAGUAUCACUUGAGUAACCUGCCCUUUUCUUUGUUAUAACUUCAGGUAACUGGUUCUAAUACCGGAUAGGAUCUCCUCCUGCAUGGUUGGGGUUGGAUAGUUUCGGCGGUUGGGGAUGUACUCGCGGCUUAUCAGCUUGUUGGUGGGGUAGUGGCUUACCAAGGCUUUGACGGGUAGCCGGCCUGAGAGGGUGACCGGAGACAAGGGGACUGAGAGAGGGAGCAGAGGGGAACGGGAGGCAGCAGGGGGGAAGAGUGCAAAAUGGGCGGAAGCAUGAGGCAGCAAAGCAGGGUGCGGGAAGAAGGCCUGCGGGGUGUAAAACGAUUGAGACUGAGAAGAAGCGUGAGUGACGGUAAUGGGUAAAGAAGCAACGGAUAAGUAAGUG